CACGUAGGAGGCGAGCGUUGUCCGGAAUCAUUGGGCGUAAAGAGCGCGCAGGCGGCUUGGCAAGUCGGGUGUGAAAGCCCGAGGCUCAACCUCGGAACUGCCCUCGAUACUGCAAAUCUCGAGUCCGAGAGAGGUGAGUGGAAUUCCUAGUGUAGAGGUGAAAUUCGUAGAUAUUAGGAAGAACACCAGUGGCGAAGGCGGCUCACUGGCUCGGUACUGACGCUGAGGCGCGAAAGCGUGGGGAGCAAACAGG
rnacentral:rRNA from 1 species